CCAACAGGGAUUACCUCAGUAACGGCGAGUGAAGCGGAACAGCUCAAAUUUGAAAUCUGGCCUCACGGUCCGAGUUGUAAUUUGUAGAGGAUGCUUUGAGCAUGGUCUGGCCUAAGUUCCUUGGAACAGGACGUCAUAGAGGGUGAGAAUCCCGUAUGCGGCCAGGUGCCUACGCUCAUGUGAAGCUCCUUCGACGAGUCGAGUUGUUUGGGAAUGCAGCUCAAAAUGGGUGGUAAAUUUCAUCUAAAGCUAAAUAUUGGCCAGAGACCGAUAGCGCACAAGUAGAGUGAUCGAAAGAUGAAAAGCACUUUGGAAAGAGAGUUAAACAGUACGUGAAAUUGUUGAAAGGGAAGCGCUU
rnacentral:rRNA from 1 species